UUCUUUCACACGCUCCUUUGAUUUUGGUCAAUCCAAACCAUAAUUGUUCAUCUCUCUCCAAUCAAUCCAAACCCUAAUUGUUCGCCUGUAUACGUUUCAUCUUUCUCAAAUUCAUCUAUCUCAAAGUCCAAACCUAAAUGUGAAGAAAAAAAUAAGCCAAUGGAUCUUCAGUUGAUUUCUCAAACUCAAACCCUAAUGGCGAUUUCUCAAACUCAAUUCCUAAUGGCGUUGCGAAGAAAAAUCUAAGCCAACCGAUUGGAUCUUCUGUUGAUUAUUCUUUUUCUAAUCUUCUAUGAAUCAUGGUCCCUAAACCAAGGGAUCUUUUAGUUAACAACUUUUUGUAAGCACAGCCCGUUACAACAAUAGUAUUGUUUUUCGAAAAAGUGAUUUGGGAGAAUGAGAACGUAGAACGGGUUUAACUGAUUGUGAGUAGAUGGUUGUAUCUCUCUCUCUGUUCCAUCACAACCUAAGAUCUCAGUCUAAAGCAACCAGCAAAAGAUAUAAAAACAAGAUUGUUGCCAUUAAACUUGUGAAUAAAGGCGAUACGCCUGAGGAGAUAGCGAAGACAGAAGGGCGUUUCGUGCGAGAAGUAGCAAUGUUAUCGAAAGUGCAACACAAGAAUUUAGUAAAGUUUAUCGGAGCCUGCAAGGACCCUGUGAUGGUCAUAGUAACCGAGCUUCUUACCGGUGGAACUUUAAGAAAAUACUUGGUUAAUAUGAGGCCGAACGGGUUGGAUACACAUGUUCCUAUAGGGUUUGCACUUGAUAUUGCGCGUGCAAUGGAGUGUUUACACUCGCAUUGAAUAAUUCACCGGGACUUAAAACCAGCCGAUCACAAAUCAGUGAAACUCACUGAUUUUCGUUUGGCAAUAGAAGAAUUGUUAACAGAGAUGAUGACUGCAUAAACCGGAACCUAUCGAUGGAUGGCUCCCGAGCUUUACAGCGCGGUAACAGUUAGGUAAGGAGAAAAAAAGCAUUAUAACCACAAAGUCGACGCGUACAGCUUUGCAAUUGUAUUGUGGGAACUCAUACACAAGUUACCAUUCGAAGGCAUGUCAAACCAACAGGCUGCCUAUGCAGCCGCUUUCAAGAAACUAAAGGAUGGCUAGAUGGUGUAAAUUGAUGAAAUGAUUGAUACGGUACAGUACUAUUAUAUAAUUGGGCCGAGAAUGCAGAUGCACAUGAUUCCCUAGCUGUAGAACAGGUGAUUGAUUGAAGUUCACAACAAAAUUCGAGCUUUCAUUUGAAACACUAUACCUGGCAAUUAAUAUAGUUGGCAGUUUCUUGGCUUCUGAAAGUGUUACAAUUGUUUGUAUAUGAAUUCAGCUCAUAUUUGUGGCUGUGAUGUAGUUCAUAUGGUUUGAUAUUUUUGAGUUUUUAGUGGUUUUGUUGAUAAAUGUGAUUCAGUGUAGUGUAUGGACCACUUAAUAGAUUUCGAAGGCCAUGUAAGUGUUUUUGUUUUAGUAUUUGAUCAUGUUGUUCUUAAAUUAUAUUGCAACUCUGGGGUUUUAUCAUAGUUAAGUUAUAGUUUUUGUUAUACAACUAGAAUUGUUGUGCAAGUAUGUAUAUAUGUGUUUUGUGUAUUGUAUAUUAUGUUCUUGAAUUUUGAUGUCAUGAUGUGUUAUAGUGGUUCAGUAAUGUUUAGAACUAUGGUUUUUUUUCUUGAUUAUUAUCUUAGAUCAUGUUCUUUUUUUUAAAUCUAAAUCGUUAGCUGUUAUUAUUUGUGAUCAUGUUAUGUUAUACUUCUAACCCCAAGAACAUGACCCGGUACAUCGAUGUACUAGGUUGUCAUGUCAUGAUUUUUUUAUUGUAUAUACGUGAACGUAUAUUUGUGAGGUGUUGAAAACACAAAUUUUCAUGUAUUUGCUAUUCACGGGCUUUAAGGAGUCACGAGGAAAUGAUGAGAGGCCAUAGAGAAGAGAAAGAAAGUCUGAUUUUGAAAACUCGAAAGAUUAUAGGAGAACAAGAAUUGGUUUACUGAAACAAAAACCCGGAAAAGUGAUGGGUGAGUCAUCUUGGUUUCAAUUAAUGCGUUCAGAUAAGUACUCAUUUUGGAGGAAUUGCUACCCGAAAAACUUGAUUAUCAUAUGAUGUUGAGAUGGUUUACCGCUCGACUUUCUGGUAGAAAUAUCUAGAAAGAAAGAGAACCAACAGAGAGAGAGAGGUGGAGAGAAAACUGAUCGUCCCGUUCUGGAGAUGAUAGUGAUGAUGGUACAGAUUCCUGUGAUCGUCCGGUUCUGGUGAUAUGUCUUUAGGCGACGACAGCUAACAACGGCGGUAGCGUUUGGUUUGAAGAUUGAUGUUGUUGCAGGGGAAGACAGUGAUAAUGGCGUUGGUUUGGUUCGAAGACGGGUAAACAGAGGUGGGUUCCGGUGAUGAAGUCAGCGGUGGUCCGAUAAUGAUUAUGGUGGUGUUGUUAACUACGAUGGUGGCAGUUAUGAUUAGGUUCCAAUAAAUCAACAAGGUUUCUGACAAGGGCUCCAAUGGUGACUGUGAUGUUGUUGUGAUGGUUAUCGGUCGCGGCGAUGGUUUUUUGACGAAAAAGGUUAGACCCGAUUGAAUAAUUUUGUAUAACCGAUUAAAUGUAACCUUUUUAGGCCAGAAUUGAGGUUGGUGAUUGAGCAGCAAGUAUGAUGGUGAUUUCAGUAAUUAAAAGGUGACUGCUGGUGGUAAGGCAGGCCGUCGGCCAUGGUGUUUUAUGGUGAGGUUUAAGGUGUGGACCCGCGGUAGUGCACAGUGGUGAUGGUUGUUGGAAAACAGUGGUGAUAGAUGUUGGAAUGAACUGCGAUGGUUAAUUGUGUGAGUGUUGUUGAUGGGUUGACUAGCUUGGAUGAUGGAUACAAAAAGAGGUUUACACAAUGGUUGGAGUGGUGAUCUUUGACAGGUGUUGUUUCCGUCGACAUAACCGCUGGAAGUCGGAUGACAAGUGGUGGUUACAUGGUGGUCACGGUGUGGUUGUCGAUGGUUGUGAUUUGGAUGAUAAACGUGUGGUGACCGGAAGCUAGGAGUCUUAUAAGGUCUCUAUAGAGACGGCUCAACACUUAAUUAACUCGGUCAACUAUCGUAAACGUAGACGAGACGGGUCAGAUUUGUUCAACAAUAGAAAUGGAGGAUUCAAAGAGCUAUAAACAAAAACAUUCGAACUAAGAAAACAAUUAAUUGUUUAAUAAUUUGUAUAAGCGUUUGUUCGGAAUCGGUUGGUUGUUUAGUUUCAAGUGUGUGUUCGUUUUAUUGCUUACGUUUUCUCUCAUCUUACUGCGGAUUUUUCGAUCUUUAAUUUGCAUCAUACACAAUUUAUAUUUGAUGAAAUGGCUUCAAUUAAGCACAGUGGUGAGUAGUUUUGUUAAUUUUAGGGAUCUCAAUACUGUGAUUAGGUUUCUUAGGGAUUCUGUUUCAUUUAUUUUUGAAUUUAAAUUUAAUUUUGAUUUGACUGUUAUGAUAUUGUUACGGAAGAAGUGAGAAUUAUAUUAUUUUUUCUGUGGUGGUUAAGAGAUUAGAAUUCAAAUGGUAUGAAAUAAAAAAAAGUUGUUGAAUAACGAGUUUGUUGGAUGCAUAGCUGCUUUGCUCUAUCUACUUUUAUUGAUUUGUACAGGUAAUAUUCGUGUCUAUAUCUUUCCUCACAUAAGUUUGUUUUUCUUUUAAAUUGCUACUCUGUUUAUUAAAAUAAAUUGUUCCACUUAAUCAUCAUUAUGUUUAAAAGAUAUUAACAAGCUUAGGUUGGCAUAGGG